UGGGGAAUUUUGGACAAUGGGGGGAACCCUGAUCCAGCCAUCCCGCGUGUGCGAUGAAGGCCUUCGGGUUGUAAAGCACUUUUGGCAGGAAAGAAACGUCGCGGGUUAAUACCCCGCGAAACUGACGGUACCUGCAGAAUAAGCACCGGCUAACUACGUGCCAGCAGCCGCGGUAAUACGUAGGGUGCAAGCGUUAAUCGGAAUUACUGGGCGUAAAGCGUGCGCAGGCGGUUCGGAAAGAAAGAUGUGAAAUCCCAGAGCUUAACUUUGGAACUGCAUUUUUAACUACCGGGCUAGAGUGUGUCAGAGGGAGGUGGAAUUCCGCGUGUAGCAGUGAAAUGCGUAGAUAUGCGGAGGAACACCGAUGGCGAAGGCAGCCUCCUGGGAUAACACUGACGCUCAUGCACGAAAGCGUGGGGAGCAAACAGGAUUAGAUACCCUGGUAGUCCACGCCCUAAACGAUGUCAACUAGCUGUUGGGGCCUUCGGGCCUUGGUAGCGCAGCUAACGCGUGAAGUUGACCGCCUGGGGAGUACGGUCGCAAGAUUAAAACUCAAAUGAAUUGAC
rnacentral:rRNA from 1 species